CUGGCAACUUCUAAUUACAUUCUACAAUCUCUAAUUAUAUUUUGCACAUAUGUUAACAGCAAUUUGUGGAGAUGGGAGAUAACCUGAUCAGCCCUAAUCUGCAGUUGUCAUACAUCAGUGUGACUCGGAGUGGUCGUCUGUGGGCCUGUGGUGGUCUGUAGGCCAUUUGCUUCUGGCCCAUGGUGACUUUCCAGGAAAGAAAGAAACCGUUGAAGCCAAUGGGCACAAGUAUUCUGAUCCCUGACAGAUUUGGCAGGGGGAAACUGCACAUCAGGAACUGUAGCUUAAGAACCACUGAUGAACAUUAAGUGGUCUCUCUCUUUCCCUCAACCCUCUGGCAUUACCUUUAUCUAAGUGCAAAGAUGACAGUGCUAAACAAUCAGUUGGAGUAUAUGCUUGAGAUUGAAAGAAUAUUCAAAACUAUUCAAUCAAUGGUUUAAACAGUGUUCCCUAAGUGCAAGAUCUAAUGGAUUUGGGACUAUGGAACUAUGCAAGAAUCCCCACAUGUUAUUUUUCUCUGUGUGGAAUAUAAUGUUUGUGUACAGAAAAUGCAGUUUCCAGCAUACACAAAGAGAGAAAAACC